GCAGCAGCCACGGUAACACGUAGGUGGCAAGCGUUGUCCGGAAUUAUUGGGCGUAAAGGGCUCGCAGGCGGUUUCUUAAGUCUGAUGUGAAAGCCCCCGGCUCAACCGGGGAGGGUCAUUGGAAACUGGGAAACUUGAGUGCAGAAGAGGAGAGUGGAAUUCCACGUGUAGCAGUGAAAUGCGUAGAGAUGUGGAGGAACACCAGUGGCGAAGGCGACUCUCUGGUCUGUAACUGACGCUGAGGAGCGAAAGCGUGGGGAGCGAACAGGAUUAGAUACCCCCGUAGUCCCUGUCUCUUAUAC
rnacentral:rRNA from 1 species